rnacentral:rRNA from 1 species
GCAGUCGAGCGGACAGAUGGGAGCUUGCUCCCUGAUGUUAGCGGCGGACGGGUGAGUAACACGUGGGUAACCUGCCUGUAAGACUGGGAUAACUCCGGGAAACCGGGGCUAAUACCGGAUGGUUGUUUGAACCGCAUGGUUCAAACAUAAAAGGUGGCUUCGGCUACCACUUACAGAUGGACCCGCGGCGCAUUAGCUAGUUGGUGAGGUAACGGCUCACCAAGGCAACGAUGCGUAGCCGACCUGAGAGGGUGAUCGGCCACACUGGGACUGAGACACGGCCCAGACUCCUACGGGAGGCAGCAGUAGGGAAUCUUCCGCAAUGGACGAAAGUCUGACGGAGCAACGCCGCGUGAGUGAUGAAGGUUUUCGGAUCGUAAAGCUCUGUUGUUAGGGAAGAACAAGUACCGUUCGAAUAGGGCGGUACCUUGACGGUACCUAACCAGAAAGCCACGGCUAACUACGUGCCAGCAGCCGCGGUAAUACGUAGGUGGCAAGCGUUGUCCGGAAUUAUUGGGCGUAAAGGGCUCGCAGGCGGUUUCUUAAGUCUGAUGUGAAAGCCCCCGGCUCAACCGGGGAGGGUCAUUGGAAACUGGGGAACUUGAGUGCAGAAGAGGAGAGUGGAAUUCCACGUGUAGCGGUGAAAUGCGUAGAGAUGUGGAGGAACACCAGUGGCGAAGGCGACUCUCUGGUCUGUAACUGACGCUGAGGAGCGAAAGCGUGGGGAGCGAACAGGAUUAGAUACCCUGGUAGUCCACGCCGUAAACGAUGAGUGCUAAGUGUUAGGGGGUUUCCGCCCCUUAGUGCUGCAGCUAACGCAUUAAGCACUCCGCCUGGCGAGUACGGUCGCAAGACUGAAACUCAAAGGAAUUGACGGCGGCCCGCACAACCGGUGGAGCAUGUGGUUUAAUUCGAAGCAACGCGAAGAACCUUACCAGGUCUUGACAUCCUCUGACAAUCCUAGAGAUAGGACGUCCCCUUCGGGGGCAGAGUGACAGGUGGUGCAUGGUUGUCGUCAGCUCGUGUCGUGAGAUGUUGGGUUAAGUCCCGCAACGAGCGCAACCCUUGAUCUUAGUUGCCAGCAUUCAGUUGGGCACUCUAAGGUGACUGCCGGUGACAAACCGGAGGAAGGUGGGGAUGACGUCAAAUCAUCAUGCCCCUUAUGACCUGGGCUACACACGUGCUACAAUGGACAGAACAAAGGGCAGCGAAACCGCGAGGUUAAGCCAAUCCCACAAAUCUGUUCUCAGUUCGGAUCGCAGUCUGCAACUCGACUGCGUGAAGCUGGAAUCGCUAGUAAUCGCGGAUCAGCAUGCCGCGGUGAAUACGUUCCCGGGCCUUGUACACACCGCCCGUCACACCACGAGAGUUUGUAACACCCGAAGUCGGUGAGGUAACCUUUUAGG